rnacentral:rRNA from 1 species
GGCGCGCCUAAUGCAUGCAAGUCGAGCGACGCAUAUCGGAGGAGUAAUCCACUGGUAUGACGGAGCGGCGAACGGGUGAGUAUCACGUGAGAAACCUGCCCCGAAGACCGGGAUAGCCCGGGGAAACCCGGAUUAAUACCGGAUACUCUCUACAGAUCGCAUGGUCUGUUGAGGAAAGGCCUUUGUGCUUCGGGAUGGUCUCGCGACCUAUCAGCUAGUUGGUGAGGUAAUGGCUCACCAAGGCAACGACGGGUAGCUGGUCUGAGAGGACGAUCAGCCACACUGGGACUGAGAUACGGCCCAGACUCCUACGGGAGGCAGCAGCAGGGAAUUUUGUCCAAUGGGCGCAAGCCUGAGACAGCGACGCCGCGUGGGGGAUGAAGGCCUUCGGGUUGUAAACCCCUUUCAGGAGGGACGAAAUUGACGGUACCUCCAGAAGAAGCCCCGGCCAACUACGUGCCAGCAGCCGCGGUAAUACGUAGGGGGCGAGCGUUGUCCGGAUUUAUUGGGCGUAAAGGGCUCGUAGGCGGCUUAACAAGUCGGCCGUGAAAACCCAGGGCUCAACCCUGGGACGCCGGUCGAUACUGUUAUGGCUAGGGUCCGGUAGAGGAGAAUGGAAUUCCCGGUGUAGCGGUGAAAUGCGCAGAUAUCGGGAGGAACACCAGUAGCGAAGGCGGUUCUCUGGGCCGGUACCGACGCUGAGGAGCGAAAGCGUGGGUAGCAAACAGGAUUAGAUACCCUGGUAGUCCACGCCGUAAACGAUGAGAACUAGAUGUCGGGGGAAUUUGUCCUUCGGUGUCGCAGCUAACGCGUUAAGUUCUCCGCCUGGGGAGUACGCCGGCAACGGUAAAACUCAAAGGAAUUGACGGGGACCCGCACAAGCGGUGGAGCAUGUGGUUUAAUUCGAUGCAACGCGAAGAACCUUACCUGCCCUUGACAUUGACAGAAUCCCGUAGAGAUAUGGGAGUGCUUCGGCCUGGAAAACAGGUGCUGCAUGGCUAUCGUCAGCUCGUGUCGUGAGAUGUUGGGUUAAGUCCCGCAACGAGCGCAACCCUUGUCCUUAGUUGCCAGCACGUAAUGGUGGGAACUCUAGGGAGACUGCCGGUGACAAACCGGAGGAAGGUGGGGACGACGUCAAGUCAUCAUGGCCCUUAUGGGCAGGGCUACACACGUGCUACAAUGGCGAAUACAGAGGGUUGCCAACCAGCAAUGGUGCGCUAAUCCCUUAAAGCUCGUCGUAGUCCGUAUUGGAGUCUGCAACUCGACUCCAUGAAGUCGGAAUCGCUAGUAAUCGCGAAUCAGAAUGUCGCGGUGAAUACGUUCCCGGGUCUUGUACACACCGCCCGUCACACCAUGGAAGUAGGUUGCACCAGAAGUAGGUAGCUUAACCCUCGGGAGAGCGCUUACCAAGGUGUGGCUUAUGACUGGGGUGAAGUCGUACAGGGGU